UCUGCCCGGUGAAAUUUAACGGCCGCAGUACCUUGACUGUGCAAAGGUAGCAUAAUCAUUUGACUUUUAAAUGGAGCCUGGAAUGAAAGAACGCACGUAGACAACUUGUCUUACUUACAAUAUUUCAAAAUUAUUAUAUGAGUGAAAAUACUCAUUGUUUAUAAAAUAGACGAGAAGACCCUUAGAAUUUUAAAAAUAUAUUAGGUUAAUCCUGUAAGAUUUUUUGUUGGGGCAACAAUAUUUCAUAUAAUAAAUAUUAUAAGGAUGAAUAAGUCGAUUAAAUAAUUGUAGAAAAAUUACCUAAGGGAUAACAGCAUAAUUUAUUAUAAGCUUGUGACCUCGAUGUUGGACUAGGUACUAUUAAGGCUAAUCGUUUUAAUAUAAUAUGUUCUGUUCGAACUUUAUUACCUACAUGAUCUGAGUUCAAACCGGAGCUC
rnacentral:rRNA from 1 species